rnacentral:misc_RNA from 1 species
GAUGAAGAACGUAGCGAAAUGCGAUAAGUAGUGUGAAUUGCAGAUUUCAGUGAAUCAUCGAAUCUUUGAACGCACAUUGCGCCCCUCGGUAUUCCGUGGGGCAUGCCUGUUCGAGCGUCAUUUAACCCCUCAAGCCUAGCUUGGUAUUGGGUGCUUGUCCCGCCUCUCGCGCGGCGACUCACCUCAAAGUCAUUGGCAGCCCGCAUCUCGCCGGCCGUGAGCGCAGCACAGACGCGCUCUUGGCAACGACGGAUCGGCUCUCCAAAAGCUUAUUUCAACCACUGACCUCGGAUCAGGUAGGGAUACCCGCUGAACUUAAGCAUAUCAAUAAGCGGAGGA